rnacentral:rRNA from 1 species
UUAAGGGCGAAAGGGCACAUGGUGGAUGCCUUGGCACCAAAUGAUGAAGAAGGACGUGGUUAACUGCGAAAAGCUUCGGAGAGCUGUAAGCAAGCUUAGACCCGGAGAUAUCCGAAUGGGGCAACCCGGCUCUGUUAGAACAGAGUCAUUCUGAGAUAGAAUACAUAUAUUUCAGGAGAUCAACCCGCUGAACUGAAACAUCUAAGUAAGCGGAGGAAGAGAAAGUAAUAACGAUUUCCUUAGUAGCGGCGAGCGGACGGGAAAGAGCCUAAACCCAUUUAUAUGGGGGUAGUGGGACUCGAGUUAUCGAUUAGUACAAUAUAGACGAACACGGUUGGGAAGCCGGAUCGGAGAGGGUGAUAAUCCCGUAGUUGAAAUAUUGUAUUAAUUGUAUUGAGUAUCCCGAGUAGGCCGGGGCACGUGGAACCCUGGUUGAAUCAGCGAGGACCAUCUCGUAAGGCUAAAUACAUUUGGUGACCGAUAGUGAAUUAGUACCGUGAGGGAAAGGUGAAAAGCACCCCGGGAGGGGAGUGAAAUAGAACCUGAAACCGUGUGCUUACAAUCAGUCGGAGCCUGCAUUUAUGUGGGUGACGGCGUGCCUUUUGCAUAAUGAGCCGGUGAGUUAAUGUUAUCAGCAGGUUAAGUGAUACAGUCAUGUAGCCAUAGCGAAAGCGAGUUUUAAUAGAGCGACUUUGUUGAUAGUAUUAGACCCGAAGCCUAGUGAUCUACCCAUGUCCAGGUUGAAGUCACGGUAACACGUGAUGGAGGACCGCACCAGGAAGCGUUGAAAAGCUUUUGGAUGAGGUGUGGGUAGGGGUGAAAGGCCAAUCAAACUAGGAGAUAUCUGGUUCUCUCCGAAAACUGUUUAGGCAGUGCCUUAGAUAAGAGUUAUGGAGGUAGAGCACUGAAUGGGCUAGGGGGCAUACCAGCCUACUGAACCCAACCAAACUCCGAAUGCCAUAACUUAAUGUCUAGGAGACAGCGUGCGUGGGAUAAGCUUCGUACGCGAGAGGGGAACAACCCAGACCGACGGCUAAGGUCCCUAAAUAUAUGCUUAGUGAGGAAGGAUGUUUUAUUGCCAAGACAGCCAGGAUGUUGGCUUAGAAGCAGCCACCAUUUAAAGAGUGCGUAAUAGCUCACUGGUCAAGUGGUAAUGCACCGAAGAUGAUCGGGACUUAAGCAUAUUACCGAAGCCUCGGAUCCCAUAUUUAUAUGGGAUGGUAGGAGAGCAUUCCAGUCAGCGAUGAAGGAGAGCUGUAAGGCGAUCUGGAGCGUCUGGAAGAGACCAUGCCGGCAUGAGUAGCGAUAAUGUAAGUGAGAAACUUACACACCGCAAGCCUAAGGUUUCCUGAGUAAAGAUAAUCUUCUCAGGGUAAGUCUGCCCCUAAGGCGAGUCAAGCGAGCUUGAGUAGCUGAUGGGAAUCUGGUUAAUAUUCCAGAACUUGCUAUAGUUAGAGAUGGAGUGACGCAAUGGUGCUCCGGAGACGGGUGUUGGACGUCCCGUUGAACACGUGUAGAUUAGUGUAUAGGCAAAUCCGUACACUUUUAUUCGAGGCGUGGGACGAGAGCUUUAAGCUCAAAAGUCCGGUUAUAUACGUUGCCAAGAAAUAACUUCUAAUUGUUUGAAGCUAUAGCGAACAGUACCGCAAACCGACACAGGUAGGCGAGGAGAGUAUCCUAAGGUGUUCGAGAGAAUUCUGGUUAAGGAACUCGGCAAAAUGACCCCGUAACUUCGGGAGAAGGGGUGCCCCAUUAUCGUGAUAGUCUUUCGGCUUGAGCGAGAGGGGGCCGCAGUGAAGAGGUCCAAGCGACUGUUUAUCAAAAACACAGGUCUAUGCGAAGACGCAAGUCACGGUAUAUAGACUGACACCUGCCCGGUGCUGGAAGGUUAAGUGGAAGAGUUAGCUUUAUGCGAAGCUCAGAAAUUAAGCCCCAGUAAACGGCGGCCGUAACUAUAACGGUCCUAAGGUAGCGAAAUUCCUUGUCGGGUAAGUUCCGACCUGCACGAAUGGUGUA